CAGACGUGGAAGUGUCUGGGUAAAGACCACCAAGGUAGAUGCUGCAGAACUGGCAGCCGAUGGACGAUAUGCCGUGUGAGCGUAUUCUUCUGCUUUCUGAUUAACUUUCUUUGUCAUGCUGAGGGAGGUGUUGACUAAAUUAGAGAUGGUGCUGGACCAACAAACCACUGAGAUUGCUUCAACUACAGGAGGUCCAGGUGCAGCCUUUGGAUGUUGAUGAAGAUUUACUGCCCUGCAAGACCUUCCUCAACUGCGUAGUCUGGAGCGAAGGAUGCAACAGAGCCCAGAUUACAAGCAAGAUCUGGUGAGAAUUUUUUUCUCUUUUUUUUUUUGUUAACAACUACUUGCACAAUUACACAGCGACUGAG
ensembl:lncRNA